GCCGAAACAUAGUCCAACCAAUCCACAAAAAUCCCAAAAACCCAAAACAAAUCAUUUGACUAACCUAGUAGAUGCGAUCGAACACUACACCUGGCACAAUAACUACAGUACCGCAAGGGAAAAAACUUAAAGCAUCAAACAGCAAAGAUUAAACCUUGUACCUUUUGCAUCAUGGUUUAGCAAGCACAACGGACAAGAAGAACCAAAGCCCAAAAUCCCGAAACCAGGUGAGCUACUUUUAAAAGCAGCCUCACGGGCACAUCCUUCUCUGUGGCAAAAGAGUGGAAAGACUUAAAAGUAGAGGUGAAAUGCCUACCGAACCUGGAGAUAGCUGGUUGCCCAAAUAACGGAUCAAAGUCCCACUUUAGGCCAUAAAUACCAACCAUAGUCACCUAAAGACAUUCAAUAGGGGUACAGCUCUAUUGAAACAGGAUACAACCUGACACUGUGAGCUAAACAAACCAAUAAGACAAGUAGGCCUUUAAGCAGCCACCUAAAAAAAUAUCGUUAAAGAAUUACAGAAUAAAAAUACCAAAAUAAACUAAAUACUCCAAACUAACUAAGGGCUAAUCUAUCAACAUAGACAAACUAAUGCUAAAACUAAUAAUGAGAAAAAUUCUCUGAGCGCGUCCAUCCACUAGAAACAGAAAACCUACUAGCAAUUAACAGACUAUAAAAAAAUAUAAUCACCCUCUUCACAAAUUAUUCCCCCACUGUGACCCCGACACAGGCGCGCUAAAAAGAAAGAUAAAAUAUUACAAAAGGAACUCGGGCAACCAGCGGCUCCAACUGUUUACCAAAAACAUAACCUUUAGCCCUCAAACCAGUAUUAAAGGCAACGCCUGCCCAGUGAUAUCAUUCAACGGCCGCGGUAUCCUAACCGUGCAAAGGUAGCGAAAUCAUUUGUCUAUUAAUUGUAGACCCGUAUGAAAGGCCACAUGAGAGCCAAACUGUCUCUUGUAAUAAAUCAAUUAAACUGAUCCCCUAGUACAAAAGCUAGAAUAAAUAUAUAAGACCAGAAGACCCUGUGAAGCUUAAACUAACCUGUUAAACCAACUAACAGCUACUUUAGGUUGGGGCGACCUUGGAACAAAACAAAACUUCCAAAUACCAUAAGCCAUACCUUAUAUACAGGCCCACAAGCCUCUAUAUGACCCAGUACUACUGAUAACUGAACCAAGUUACUCCAGGGAUAACAGCGCUAUCUUCUUCAAGAGCCCAUAUCAAAAAGAAGGUUUACGACCUCGAUGUUGGAUCAGGACACCCAAAUGGUGCAGCCGCUAUUAAAGGUUCGUUUGUUCAACG
rnacentral:rRNA from 1 species